UGGCAAGAGAGCUGCAUAUAUAUUACACAGGGAGAAGAGGCCAGCUGCAACAACUAGGGAGCAUGAAUGACUACAAAACACUACCGGGACAAAGGGGCGUUACAAUCUAAUGCCUUUCAGGUGCAGAAGGCGCACACAUUGCACGGAAAGAGGCCAGUUGCACGUCUAGAUAAACAGACAAGGGUAUAAGAAAUGCAAAGGAAGAUCGAUGCUAUAUUCUAAGAUCACUGCAAAUACACGUGGCGGGAAGAAAGCAAGGAAGGGUGGGUGAGAGAUUGUAAAACCGCAGGUGUACAUCCCGCUAUGGGAAAGAAGUCGAAGUGACACAACGGACGGUUCGAGACUACCUGCAAUAUGGAUCGGACGGGCCACUUCACACCUCGGAGGCACAAUAUUUUGUCUCUGGAAAGGGAAACUGCUAACAGAGACGCCUCCUUUCACUCGCUCAACUCACCGAUAGCUCCACGCUGACUUCGGUGCCGUCGAGCAGCUGCACCCGACACUGCAGCGCCGCUUUACCACCCGCCGCAGCCGCUUGGAUGUGAUGCACUGGCGGAGCACUAUGUGCGUGAGCUGCUGCAAGCGGUAACGAGGAGGCUGCUGCGGCCCCUCUCAGCACCCCGUCACGCUCGUCUCUUUCCCCGGCGACACCCCCUCGCGCGUAGCGCUGCAUCGACCGCCGGCCAAAGGUCCUACGCAGGAAUCGCAGCAUCCUGUGCCGGGCUGAGUCGCUUAUUCGGGGAGGGGGCUCGGCUCAUGCACCGGGGAAGCCGAGCCCCACGACCGCUCCUCCUCGCGGCACUCGGAGGGGAAAGCAAGCCUCGAUAGCGACCGCUGGCGCUCCUGGCAGCUCUCCCUGCAGCGCCGCCAGCCGCCACCCGGGGAGCCAGGCAGGCAGUUGAGGUGGGCUCGCAGCAGCGAAGACGCUGGGCGGGGUCCUCCUCGUCGGCCGGCACUUCUCUGCUCCGCCUCCUUUCCUGCUGCAGCCGGCUCAGCGCGACGCAGCUGCGGCUACACAAAGCAAGCAAGGACAACCUGUAGCAGGCACCCUUGCUGCUGCUUCAGGGAGACAAAAUGUGGUCGCCUCUCACUUCAUGUUUCAGGACCACCGUGAAGGCGACAGAGGCUGAUUUGUCGGGCGCGCCCCAGGCCCCCGCGCUCUUCGGCAGUUGGGGGGGCGCAGAGUGGAAACGCCUUCCUCGCCCAGUAGCGGCGCCUCCUUCGUUCCUGAAGGCGCCACCGCGCGCUGUCUCUGCGCCUUCUUCCUCCCCUCCAGGAACAGCGCCGCCCGCUUUGAGGAAGGAGAGGGCGCCUGCGCUGUUCCGAAGUCUAAGGGCUAUACCUGUGGUAGAUCUCCCCGCCGUAUAAACCUGGCCCUACCUCAGUGUCGAAACAACAGCAGGAGAUGUCUCGCUCCUCCUCCUAAAAUUCAGGGGCUUUUUGGCGCCCUCUCUUGCCAACGCUAGCGUUAGAGAUGUCAUGAAUAAAAAUAUUUUAUGAAUGGAAACUGCACAUUUACUCUGAGAAAGUCUCGCUAAUAUUCACGGUAAUUACUGCCAAGCAAGUUACAAGAGAGUCCCACCGACAGGACGCAACGUGAGAACACAAUCCUCUGGGCGUCAGUUUGUGUUGGGGCUCAGCCCUGGGAACUGUUUUCAGUGCUAAGGUUUAAGCCUGGAGCUACCAAGUAAAAGAAAUCGGCGAAAGAAUUGUCCUUGAGAAGAUACAGUGCGAGUCUCAAGAUUUCAUGAACUCUGGUGAAGGCAUGCCAACCCAAUGACUUGUUCGAUUUGCUUGUUUUCAUUAUAGAAAACAUGGUAAAAACGAUAAGUAUUAUCCACAGUAGGAAAGAACGUCCAGGUUUUUGUUGGGGGACAGUGGGGGUUUGGAUAAUUCUCCCAUUGUGUGUAGUCGUAAGAGCCCUGCUGGAUCAAGGCAAAAGCCCAUUUAAUCCACCAUUAGGUUCUCACAGUGGCCAACCUGAUGCAGGUAGGAAGCCCACAAGUAGGACUUGGGUGCCCUGUGUUCCUCCCACUGCACAGAAGUUAGGGUGCAGUCAGUAGAAGGGACUGGAACAAGGUGGCUUACUUAUGUAAAGCACUAUGGAUGCAACAUUAAUAAUGUAUUGUUAUUAAUUAAUGGUGCCCUUUCUUUUGGUGUUGGUGUCCUAGCACAGAACCAAACUCAGAUGGAGGUAGUUUUUAUAUGUCCAGACUGAGAUGCUGAGCAGAGAAGCUGCCACACACUGGAUUAACAUCUUCAUUGAGCAACCCAUGAUGACCCCAAGGCCUCAUUCCUGGUCAAUCACCUCCAAUUGAGACCCAUAUCUUAGCAAGGGAGGAGGAUGGAGAGAAAACCAGAACAACUUGGACACGUCCCCAUGAUGGCUCACUGGCCACACCCUAUGGCCUCUUAGCAGCCCCACCAGGUCCAGAGGGCACCAGCUGUCACUGAUGGCAAGUAUAAAGAGAACACUGUAACCCACUGUUAGCUACUGACCAUGAAGUUGGCAUUUCAGCACCUUUAUUGCAAGGUUAAAGCACAAGCCUUAAUAAAUUACACUUCCAAUGUUUAUA